rnacentral:lncRNA from 1 species
GUUUUCGUUUGAUUUAUUCCUUUGGUGUGCUAGGCUUUUCUUUGGUCAUUUCUUUAAAAAUUGUAGAUUUUUGGAGAUUGGCUUUUUGCUAAAGGUUAUGUUCAGGCCCAGCAAGUAGGGUUGGGUCGUCUUCCUAUCUUCGACAUUCAUAGCUCUGCUCGCUGAACAAAUCACCGUAACGUCUCUUGAUAGCAUUAAAACAUAUUUUAAUCUGAUCUUUAACGUGAUUGCCCCAUUAUUUCAUCUCUCAAGCAUUCAAUCAACCUCAUCACUCCCAUAGUAACCGACGGAAGCUCGGACUAUAAAUCUCCAAUCUCCAGCGAUGAACAGCACAGAAUCAACCAAAUCAAGAAGAACAGACUCUGCUAAUUACCACGGCCAGCUCCUAUAAACUGCUAAUAAAAUACAUAUAUAUGCUAAUUCAUAUCUUGUAUUCUAUUUUAGCCAGGCUGUUGUCAUCCCACUUCUCCGUUUCUCAUAGGAGCGUAAUGUGAAGAAAGGAGGUGAUUCUCUGCUACUGGAAGAUAAGGUAAUUGAUAUAGUGAUCAUGUUCAGGUUUUACUACCCAUGAUUAAAUUCACACCCAUAUACAGUGUCUCCAAUAGGGCAUAAAGAUGCAUACAAGAUUUUGAGUGCGCAAGGAAAGCAAAAUCGGUUGAAACCUCAUAGCACGUACAAAAUUUUAGUGGAAAAUCUGAUGACGACUUGCUAGAGACGGUGGUUUAAGAAGCUUUUCUGACUCUUCUACCAAUAAUAAUGUAAUUAUUUCUCUUUUUUUUUGUAGAACUUAUUUUUGUAACACCAAUUAUUUUUCAUUUAUCUCAGUCUUUCUCUGUGUAUUUGAAUCGAUGAUGAAGUCUACAAGG